UAACAGGAUUCCCCUAGUAACUGCGAGUGAAGCGGGAAAAGCUCAAAUUUAAAAGCUGGCGGUCUUUGGCCGUCCGCAUUGUAAUCUAGAGAAGUGUUACCCGCGUUGGACCGUGUACAAGUCUCCUGGAAUGGAGCGUCAUAGAGGGUGACAAUCCCGUCUUUGACCCGGGAUCCCAAGGCUUUGUGGUGCGCUCUCAAAGAGUCGAGUUGUUUGGGAAUGCAGCUCUAAAUGGGUGGUAAAUUCCAUCUAAAGCUAAAUAUUGGCGAGAGACCGAUAGCGAACAAGUACCGUGAGGGAAAGAUGAAAAGAACUUUGGAAAGAGAGUUAAACAGUACGUGAAAUUGCUGAAAGGGAAACGCUUGAAGUCAGUCGCGUCGUCCGGAGAUCAACCUUGCUUUUGCUGGGCGUACUCUCCGGUUGACGGGCCAGCAUCAGUUUUGGCCACUGGAAAAGGGCGGAGGAAAUGUGGCAUCUUCGGAUGUGUUAUAGUCUUCCGUCGUAUACAGUGGCUGGGACUGAGGAACUCAGCACGCCGCAAGGCCGGGAUUUAUCCACGUACGUGCUUAGGAUGCUGGCAUAAUGGCUUUAAUCGAC
rnacentral:rRNA from 1 species